rnacentral:rRNA from 1 species
AGAGUUUGAUCAUGGCUCAGGACGAACGCUGGCGGCGCGCUUAACACAUGCAAGUCGAGCGAGAACCCAGGCUUCGGCCUGGGGGAAAGCGGCGAACGGGUGAGUAACACGUGAGUAAUCUGCCCUCGACAUCGGGAUAGCCCGGGGAAACCCGGAUUAAUACCGAAUGGCCCAACAGCUUUGCGGAGCGGUUGGAAAAGGUAGCUUCGGCCUCCGGUCGAGGAGGAGCUCGCGGCGGAUUAGCUUGUUGGUGGGGUAACGGGCCCACCAAGGCUUCGAUCCGUAGCUGGUCUGAGAGGACGAUCAGCCACACCGGGACUGAGACACGGCCCAGACUCCUACGGGAGGCAGCAGUGGGGAAUCUUGCGCAAUGGGCGAAAGCCUGACGCAGCGACGCCGCGUGAGGGAAGAAGGCCUUCGGGUUGUAAACCUCUUUCAGGAGGGACGAAGCCACUCGGGUUAAUAGCCCAGAGGGUGACGGUACCUCCAGAAGAAGCCCCGGCUAACUACGUGCCAGCAGCCGCGGUAAUACGUAGGGGGCUAGCGUUGUCCGGAUUUAUUGGGCGUAAAGAGCGUGUAGGCGGCCGGGUAGGUCUGCUGUGAAAACUCGAGGCUCAACCUCGAGACGUCGGCGGAAACCAUCUGGCUAGAGUCCGGAAGAGGAGAGUGGAAUUCCUGGUGUAGCGGUGAAAUGCGCAGAUAUCAGGAAGAACACCCGUGGCGAAGGCGGCUCUCUGGGACGGUACUGACGCUGAGACGCGAAAGCGUGGGGAGCGAACAGGAUUAGAUACCCUAGUAGUCC